rnacentral:rRNA from 1 species
AGCAGCCGCGGUAAUACGGAGGGGACAAGUGUUACUCGUAAUGAUUGGGCGUAAAGGGUACGUAGGUUGCUAUUAUAGUCUAGUGUAAAAAACUUAAGUAAGAAGAAGUAAAGCAUUAGAUACAUUAUAGCUUGAGUUUUGGAGAGGAAAGUGGUACUUUUAAUGUAGAGGUAAAAUUUGUCAAUAUUAAAAGGACGACCUAAGGCGAAGGCAACUUUCUGGACUAAACUGACACUGAGGUACUGAAGCAUGGGGAGCAAAUCGGAUUAGAUACCCGAGUAGUCCAUGCCGUAAACGAUGAGUAUUGCAUAUUGUCCUAUAUAAAAUAGGAUUGUGUGUCAGUUAACACGUUAAAUACUCCGCCUGGGGACUACGGUCGCAAGAUUAAAACUCAA